CCCCCCCGCGCGGCUCGGAGCCCGGAGUCCCUUCGGCUGCUUUUAUUGCCGUCCCCCAACUUCUUGCGGUGCCAUUUGUGUGCAGCUGAUGCUGCGUCACGCAGCGAAUUCUUCGCCGAAGGGAAAUGAAGGCGCACGCGGCAAAGGUGCCUCCUUGGCUCCACCGUGCCAGCAAAGCUUCCCUCUCCAAAGGUCACCUUUGACAAUCAGAAGAACCUGACACAAAAUACAAACGAUUUCUUCCCUCUGGUCGCCGAGCGAGCUCAGAACUGCUCCGAGGGCUCUGAUUUGUGAAGUGCAUCCCCCUCUACCGCACCACCUCCAGAAAUCCCAACGCCCUGACCUACACGAGGGGCACCCGCAGGGUUCCUGGGGCCACCAGCCCCAGCUGGGUCCCACCAGCAGCACCUGACACAGGGAAACGCUGAGUCCUGCUUUCCACUCCGGCCUCUGUUGCUCACAGCUCUUUCACACCAGCUUUGUGGUCUGCAAUUUUCCGUGUUCGGUUUCAGCCAAGAGGUGACUUCUGAAGCUUGAGUCAUUCUGCUUCUCCCCUCCGUGCCUUCUGUGAAUGAAGGAAGCUCACUGCCCUGCUGUGCAUCAGGAGGGGACAGAGCAGCAGGGCUGCCUGGGGCCCAAGCGCUGCAGCCCCAGGUCGGGUGCUCGUGCAGAAGAAGCUGAGAACCCAAUGGCUCUCAGGAGAGCAGGAGAUGCAGCCUCACCCCAACACAGGAAUUUCUGCUCAGCGCAGUCUUUAUGUCCAAUAUUAAAUACACAUUUGUUGCAGCUUCCACCAGCUCAGGCCCUCCAUCACACUGCAUUUGAUAACCACAGUGACGUCUGUUUAAUUCACUUCCUCUAGCUGUAGCAUUUUUCUGCCCCAGCUGAUGCAGCAUAACUUGCAACACCUCCCAGAGGUUUAGGCUGUCCCCUUCCCUCCCUCGAGCUAAGCACUGCUGACUGAAGCACACUCAGAAGCUGCAGUCCCUCUGGGACCACGACGAUGCUUCAAACCUCACAAGAAUGGGGCUGCAGCUGCUCCCCCCCUCCCACCUUGGGGCGCAGAGCUCAGAGCAUCCCAGCUUGGGAACUUGGCUCCUGCUGCCCCUCGCUGUCUGACAGAGACCUGGAG
ensembl:lncRNA